GAUGAACGCUGGCGGCGUGCCUAAUACAUGCAAGUCGAGCGAACAGACGAGGAGCUUGCUCCUCUGACGUUAGCGGCGGACGGGUGAGUAACACGUGGAUAACCUACCUAUAAGACUGGGAUAACUUCGGGAAACCGGAGCUAAUACCGGAUAAUAUAUUGAACCGCAUGGUUCAAUAGUGAAAGACGGUUUUGCUGUCACUUAUAGAUGGAUCCGCGCCGCAUUAGCUAGUUGGUAAGGUAACGGCUUACCAAGGCAACGAUGCGUAGCCGACCUGAGAGGGUGAUCGGCCACCCUGGAACGGAGACCCGGUCCAGACUCCUCCGGGAGGCAGCAGUAGGGAAUCUUCCGCAAUGGGCGAAAGCCUGACGGAGCAACGCCGCGUGAGUGAUGAAGGUCUUCGGAUCGUAAAACUCUGUUAUUAGGGAAGAACAAAUGUGUAAGUAACUAUGCACGUCUUGACGGUACCUAAUCAGAAAGCCACGGCUAACUACGUG
rnacentral:rRNA from 1 species